AAACAAUUCAGAUCUCACGCGUGUGGACGGCCCAGAUCUCACACGCACAGACGACCCAGAUCUCACGCGUGUGGAUGACCCAGAUUGAAUCACGCACGGAUGGUCCAGAUCGCAUCGCGAUGGACGGUCUAGAUUUAUUCCUAUUUUAAUCGCGAUCGGACGGCCCAGAUUAAAUCGUGAUGGACGGCUGAGAUUAAAAGGGAAAUGUUAUAAAUAACCUCACCCACACUUAACCCCAAACCCUAG
rnacentral:lncRNA from 1 species